UACGUAGGCAGCAAGCGUUGUUCGGAGUUACUGGGCGUAAAGGGUGCGUAGGCGGUUUGGUAAGUCUUGUGUGAAAUCUACAGGCUGAACUUGUAGUCUGCACGAGAAACUGCCGGGCUUGAGUGUGGGAGAGGUGAGUGGAAUUCCCGGUGUAGCGGUGAAAUGCGCAGAUAUCGGGAAGAACACGCGUGGCGAAGGCGGCAGUCUGGGACGGGACUGACGCUGAGACGCGAAAGCGUGGGGAGCGAACAGG
rnacentral:rRNA from 1 species